UACAGAGGCCUCGAGCGUUAGGCGGAAUCGCUGGGCUUAAAGCGUGUGUAGGCGGACUUCUAAGUACCUUGUGAAAUCCCACGGCUCACCCGUGGAACUGCUCGGUAUACUGGUCGUCUUGAGCCUUCUAGGGGCGAGUGGAACAAAUGGUGGAGCGGUGAAAUGCGUAGAUAUCAUUGGAACGCCAAUGGUGAAAACAACUCGCUGGGGAAGUGCUGACGCUGAGACACGAAAGCCAGGGGAGGCGAACGGG
rnacentral:rRNA from 1 species